GGACUACUAGGGUUUCUAAUCCCGUUUGCUCCCCUGGCCUUCGUGCCUCAGCGUCAGGAACUGUCCAGAGAUCCGCCUUCGCCACUGGCCUUCCUCACGAUAUCUACGCAUUUCACUGCUACACCGUGAAUUCCGAUCUCCUCUCCAGUCCUCGAGCAAAGCAGUAUCAAGUGCAGUUCCGGAGUUAAGCUCCGGGAUUUCACACCUGACUUGCUUCGCCGCCUACGCACCCUUUACGCCCAAUGAAUCCGAACAACGCUUGAGACCUCUGUAUUACCGCGGCGGCUGGCAC
rnacentral:rRNA from 2 species